UAGCUUAGUUGGUAAAGCACUCGUCUAGCACACAAGAGUCCUGGGUUCGAAUUCCAG
rnacentral:tRNA from 1 species